rnacentral:rRNA from 1 species
UUAAGUUGCAGGGUAUAGACCCGAAACCCGGUGAUCUAGCCAUGGGCAGGUUGAAGGUUGGGUAACACUAACUGGAGGACCGAACCGACUAAUGUUGAAAAAUUAGCGGAUGACCUGUGGCUGGGGGUGAAAGGCCAAUCAAACCGGGAGAUAGCUGGUUCUCCCCGAAAGCUAUUUAGGUAGCGCCUCGUGAACUCAUCUCCGGGGGUAGAGCACUGUUUCGGCUAGGGGCCAUCCCGGCUUACCAACCCGAUGCAAACUGCGAAUACCGGAGAAUGUUAUCACGGGAGACACACGGCGGGUGCUAACGUCCGUCGUGAAGAGGGAAACAACCCAGACCGCCAGCUAAGGUCCCAAAGUCAUGGUUAAGUGGGAAACGAUGUGGGAAGGCCCAGACAGCCAGGAUGUUGGCUUAGAAGCAGCCAUCAUUUAAAGAAAGCGUAAUAGCUCACUGGUCGAGUCGGCCUGCGCGGAAGAUGUAACGGGGCUAAACCAUGCACCGAAGCUGCGGCAGCGAC